GGGGAUACAGCUCAGUGGUAGAGCUCUUGCUUAGAGUGACCAAGACCCUGGGUUCAAUCCCCAGUGCUUCUA
rnacentral:tRNA from 1 species